rnacentral:rRNA from 1 species
CACGAACGCUGGCGGCGUGCCUAAUACAUGCAAGUCGAGCGGACCGAAUGGAAGCUUGCUUCUGUUCGGUUAGCGGCGGACGGGUGAGUAACACGUGGGUAACCUGCCCGUAAGACCAGGAUAACUCCGGGAAACCGGGGCUAAUACCGGAUAACACCGAAGACCGCAUGGUCUUUGGUUGAAAGGUGGCUUUUGCUACCACUUACGGAUGGGCCCGGGGCGCAUUAGCUAGUUGGUGAGGUAACGGCUCACCAAGGCGACGAUGCGUAGCCGGCCUGAGAGGGUGACCGGCCACACUGGGACUGAGACACGGCCCAGACUCCUACGGGAGGCAGCAGUAGGGAAUCUUCCGCAAUGGACGAAAGUCUGACGGAGCGACGCCGCGUGAGCGAAGAAGGUCUUCGGAUCGUAAAGCUCUGUUGUUAGGGAAGAAGAAGUACCGUUCGAAUAGGGCGGUACGGUGACGGUACCUAACGAGAAAGCCCCGGCUAACUACGUGCCAGCAGCCGCCGUAAGAC